GGGUUGUGAGGUUAAGCGACUAAGCGUACACGGUGGAUGCCCUGGCAGUCAGAGGCGAUGAAGGACGUGCUAAUCUGCGAUAAGCGUCGGUGAGGUGAUAUGAACCGUUAUAACCGGCGAUUUCCGAAUGGGGAAACCCAGUGUGUUUCGACACACUAUCAUUAACUGAAUCCAUAGGUUAAUGAGGCGAACCGGGGGAACUGAAACAUCUAAGUACCCCGAGGAAAAGAAAUCAACCGAGAUUCCCCCAGUAGCGGCGAGCGAACGGGGAGGAGCCCAGAGCCUGAAUCAGUGUGUGUGUUAGUGGAAGCGUCUGGAAAGGCGCGCGAUACAGGGUGACAGCCCCGUACACAAAAAUGCACAUAUUGUGAGCUCGAUGAGUAGGGCGGGACACGUGGUAUCCUGUCUGAAUAUGGGGGGACCAUCCUCCAAGGCUAAAUACUCCUGACUGACCGAUAGUGAACCAGUACCGUGAGGGAAAGGCGAAAAGAACCCCGGCGAGGGGAGUGAAAAAGAACCUGAAACCGUGUA
rnacentral:rRNA from 1 species